rnacentral:rRNA from 1 species
AGGGAAUCUUCCACAGUGGACGCAAGUCUGAUGGAGCAACGCCGCGUGAGUGAAGAAGGCUUUCGGGUCGUAAAACUCUGUUAUUGAAGAAGAACGUGCGUGACAGUAACUGGUCAUGCAGUGACGGUAUUCAAUCAGAAAGUCACGGCUAACUACGUGCCAGCAGCCGCGGUAAUACGUAGGUGGCAAGCGUUGUCCGGAUUUAUUGGGCGUAAAGCGAGUGCAGGCGGUCUUUUAAGUCUGAUGUGAAAGCCUUCGGCUUAACCGAAGAAGGGCAUCGGAAACUGGGAGA